rnacentral:ncRNA from 1 species
AUCUUCAGGGCGGAGUGAAAUUCUCCACUGGCGGUAUAGUCCGCGAUCUGCCUACGGCAGCCGAACCGGUUCGAUUCCGGUACCAACAGUUACAGUCUGGAUGGAAGAAGAUA